rfam:Canis lupus familiaris chromosome 3, whole genome shotgun sequence.
GCUCUGAUGAUUAGACUCCUUGUUUAUUGAACCUGAUGACAACAUUCAUUCCUACAAAGAGAAUGCGGGGUU